GGAGAGGUGUCAGAGUGGUCGAAUGAGCAGACCUGGAAAGUCUGUAUACGGGAUGACUGUAUCGUGGGUUCGAAUCCCACCCUCUCCGCAA
rnacentral:tRNA from 1 species